AUUGAACGCUGGCGGCAGGCCUAACACAUGCAAGUCGAACGAGUGGCGGACGGGAGAGUAAUGUGUGGGAAACUGCCCGAUGGAGGGGGAUAAAUACUGGAAAGGGUAGCUAAUACCGCAUAACCUGGGAUGUGCCCAGAUGGGGUGCGAGAGUAGGUGGGGUAACGGCUCACCUGGGCGAAGAUCCCGCGCUGGUCUGAGGGGAUGAACAGCCACACUGGAACUUAGACACGGUCCAGACUCCUACGGGAGGCAGCAGUGGGGAAUAUUGCACAAUGGGCGCAAGCCUGCUGCAGCCAUGCCGCGUGUAUGAAGAAGGCCUUCGGGUUGUAAAGUACUUUCAGCGGGGAGGCGUUACCCGCAGAAGAAGCACCGGCUAACUCCGUGCCAGCAGCCGCGGUAAUAC
rnacentral:rRNA from 1 species